rnacentral:rRNA from 1 species
AGAGUUUGAUCCUGGCUCAGAAUCAACGCUGGCGGCGUGCCUAACACAUGCAAGUCGAACGAGAAAGUGGAGCAAUCCAUGAGUAAAGUGGCGCACGGGUGAGUAACACGUGACUAACCUACCCUGGAGUGGGGGAUAACUGAGGGAAACCUUAGCUAAUACCGCAUAAUACCCACGGGUCAAAGGAGCAAUUCGCUUCAGGAGGGGGUCGCGGCCGAUUAGUUAGUUGGCGGGGUAAUGGCCCACCAAGACGAUGAUCGGUAUCCGGCCUGAGAGGGCGCACGGACACACUGGAACUGAAACACGGUCCAGACUCCUACGGGAGGCAGCAGUGGGGAAUUUUGCGCAAUGGGGGAAACCCUGACGCAGCAACGCCGCGUGGAGGAUGAAGUACUUCGGUACGUAAACUCCUUUCGAUCGGGACGAUAAUGACGGUACCGGAAGAAGAAGCCCCGGCUAACUUCGUGCCAGCAGCCGCGGUAAUACGAGGGGGGCGAGCGUUGUUCGGAAUUAUUGGGCGUAAAGGGUGCGUAGGCGGUUUGGUAAGUCUUGUGUGAAAUCUCUGGGCUCAACUCAGAGACUGCACGAGAAACUGCCGGGCUUGAGUGUGGGAGAGGUGAGUGGAAUUUCCGGUGUAGCGGUGAAAUGCGUAGAUAUCGGAAGGAACACCUGUGGCGAAAGCGGCUCACUGGACCACAACUGACGCUGAUGCACGAAAGCUAGGGGAGCAAACAGGAUUAGAUACCCUGGUAGUCCUAGCCCUAAACGAUGAUUGCUUGGUGUGAUCGGUACCCAAUCCGAUUGUGCCGCAGCUAACGCGAUAAGCAAUCCGCCUGGGGAGUACGGUCGCAAGGCUGAAACUCAAAGGAAUUGACGGGGGCCCGCACAAGCGGUGGAGCAUGUGGUUUAAUUCGA